rnacentral:rRNA from 1 species
ACGCUCGACACCUACGGAAGGCAGCAGUGGGGAAUAUUGGGCAAUGGGGGAAACCCUGACCCAGCAACGCCGCGUGGAGGAAGAAGGUCUUCGGAUUGUAAACUCCUGUCCUUAGGGAAGAAACAAAUGACGGUACCUGAGGAGGAAGCUCCGGCUAACUACGUGCCAGCAGCCACGGUAAUCUGAGCGGGCUGGCAAGGC